AGAAAAAGAACAAAAAAAAAAAGAGUAUAGAAGUCGAACAGGUAACAUCAAAGAUGUAGUCACCAGAUACCAGCGACUGCUAAACUUGACAAAGAAGGGGUAGACUAUGUCUAUGGCUUUUCGAAAGGCGGGCGUGUCAAGGAAUGCCGUGGCUGCCACUGCACCCAUUGCUGAGCUGUUCAUUGCAGAAAGACAGGUGUUGGAGCAAUUGCCUUUUUGCAGAAAACUGUCAGACCUAGCGAAGUUAUGCACUGAGAAAAUUGUUGAAGAAAUUGAAGAAAAAGUGGUAGUGGUG